ensembl:lncRNA
AUGUUGAAUGAUUUAUUGAAGGGGAAGAUUGACGAGAUCGAUCAGCAUUUCUCCAGUUUUCAAGGCUAUAAGUCCCCCCAGUACUGCACGGAGACGUGGUACCAGGUGAGCGUGGACACGAGUCCAGCUGUGACGCCCAGCAGCAUCCAGUCUGAUGGUAUACAGGAGGAUGUGCUGAUCACGCCAAUCAUACAGAUUGUGCCAAUCGGGCCAAUCACGCAGUACGUCACCUGCCCCAAUGGACAACAGUCUGUUCAGACCAGCUGCACUCCUAUGCCUUAUGUCCACGGCCCGGCCCCCUACUGUGAGAAAGACACACCCCCUCCAGACCCUGGCCCCGCCCACCCGGAGCUCAUGUCUGUCCCAGGCAUGGACUACAGCAUGAUUCUAAACUCUGCUCCCUACUGUGAGGAAGACACGCCCCCUCCAGACCCUGGCCCCGUCCACCCGGAGCUCAUAAGCCCCGCCCCCUACUGUAAUGUAGCAUUGCAUCAGUGUCUCAGCAGUGGAUGCUCAGCAGUGAAUGGGUGCCGUCAGAAUGAGAGUCCAAACAGCUGAUAAAAACAUCACAAUAAUCCACAGCACUCCAGCCCAUCCAGUCCAGUAAGACUAAAGAUGAAACAAAUCCAGCAUUUAACUUCAAACGAUGGUCUGAGGACGAGCACAUUUUCAGCUUUUGGGUGAACUAUUCCUUUAAAAUGAUGUCAAACAAAAACAGAUUAAAUUUGAUUGAAGAUCACAAUGAUAUAAAUGUUAUAUUUUUGACUAACAUGCGUGAAGAAUUGUACAAAGGCCAUUUUUCACGGUUCACAUGAAAUGUUGCUAAAUAUUUUGAGAAAAAAGGUCGGGAAGUCAAUCUGGAUUAGUAAACACUUAUGAACAUUAUGAUAUUAAACACACAGGGCUUAUGACAAACCCACACAGCGGCCCAAUAUGUUCAACGAUUCGACGGAGCGAUCAAUGUAAUGAAAACACAAGCAAACGCUGCAGGCUGUUACCGAACCCAAGUUUAAUCUGCACACAGUUCAAUGUUAUAACCAAUCCCAACUGAGCAGGCGACCCAUGGACGAGGUGAAUGAAGCUCUGUGCUUGUAGUAGGUUAAAGAGAACAUGUUAGCAUAUCCUUAACACUUACAGCUGCAGCGAUGGAGACAGUGUAAACUAAUUAGGCUUAAUGUAUGUCACAGCACUGACACUAAACACACACACACACACACACACACACACACACACACACACACACACACACACACACACACACACACACACAGAGGGAUUACACACUAAUACUGCCAUGGCGUAAGCAUUGAGGAUAAGCUGCAUGUUCUAUAGCUUGAUGUUUUUCAUGGUAUAGAUGGUAAACUGUACAUAUAUAUAUAUAUACACACACACACAAAAAAAUUGACUGGGUUUGCAAUGGUAUCAAUUUUUCAGGUCGACUUGACCCACAAAGGCAGAGAUAGUGACAAUGAAAUAUACAUCAUGCAUCUGAAUAUAUAAAACCACACCCACAGAAUCGUGUUCCAAUUUAUAUGCAGUGUUUCAAAGGAAAUACCAUUUAACCACAGAGAGAGAGAGAGAGAGAGAGAGAGAGAGAGAGAGAUGAUUUUUAGCAUGUUCAGUGUGAAUCCGUGGGGUUUUCUCACCUGUUUUCUGGUCUAGUGGGUGAGAAUGGUGUAUCUGACCGUUAAGUAAAGUAGCAUCACACCUCUGAGUAUGAGGAGCAGAAGUAUUGAUGCUUGACUCAGAGAAUAAAUAUGAAAUGGCAGUGGGCGUGGCUCGGGUUCAUGUUUUAUUAAAAACUAAUGCAAUUACACACAAAUAGACUGAUACACACCAUCAUUUCCCUGCAAAUUCACACACUUCACUGAGAUUAGUGUGGAACGUUAUUUCACAGAGCAUUAAUGACCAACGAGUUCUUAUAAAGCACACACACGGUCACGUGUGUGUGUGUGUGUGUGUGUGUGUGUGUGUGUGUGUGUGUAGUCCAGGCGUUUGACCUCCUUUCACAUGGCUGAACACAGCUGUACAAACUCUACAGACAACAGUAACUGAGGAACUGAGAACGAUGUCUCUAGGCACUAAAGGCACAGACACACACACACACAAUACACACACAUUUGCCAUGUUUUAUUCAUGCACAUUGCACACACUCUCUCUCACACACACAGACAUCAGAGCGGAGCAGACAGAGUGGAAACAGCGACUGUGUUUGUUUCUAAAUAGAGCGUGUUUAUCAGGAGGGUCUUAGGUAAACAAACAGCAUGAGAAGAGAGACGGCAAAGGAUCAGCGACACAUUCGCCCAUCUCUCUGAGCACAGAGAACAAAUGAUUUGAUCUCCCUCUAAAAUACAAAAGAAAUUACAAAUAUAUAUGUAAGUAUAUAUUAAACCUUAAAUACAUAAUAUAUGAAUUAAAAUGUAGUGUUAAUUAUAAUUUAACUAUAUAUGUAAAAUACAUAUAUAAAAUAAUACAUUUUGUGUAUUUUAAAUAGCAAUAAA